rnacentral:rRNA from 1 species
UACGAGGGGGGGCGAGCGUUGUUCGGAAUUAUUGGGCGUAAAGGGUGCGUAGAUGGCCUGAUAAGUUAGCAGUGGGAAAUCGAGGCUCAACCUCGUGGAAGCUGGUAAUACUGUCAGGCUCGAGUGCAGGAGAGGUUAACGGAACUCCAUGUGGAGCGGUAAAAUGUGUAGAUAUAUGGAAGAACACCAAUAACGGCGAAGGCAGUUAACUAUUCUG